AGAAAAUGAGAAGUGUCUGAAAAGCUGCUUCUGCAAUAUGGUGGGGGAAGGGGGUGUCAGCUCGAUGUUUGCUUUUUUAAAAAUCCACUCAGCUAGCACAAACCCUUACUCUGAGCCUUGGAACAUAUUUUGAUUCUAGAUUAUGUCUAGUCUCUUUUCAGUCUGUGCUAGCUGUACCCAAUACUGUUAAAUCAAAGCAUUGGCGAUACAAGCGUCUUGAUGAUGUUUCUGCCUGCCAUUUCUGCCGCAACAUAAUGUUUUUGCCUCUUCUCAUUUUACGAGGCAGUGUAGAGGCUGUGGAGACUGGAAACCAUCUCCAGCGUAUCUGAAGUACUGAUUGUUUUUCAGCACCGAUGUAAAGGUUUGCACAAUCAUCAUCAAGAAACAAAUAAAGUUGUCAAAGUCUAUUGUCUGGGGGUUCUCGAAAUCUGUCGCGAGACAACUAAAAGUUUUCCAUUCUAAUUACCUUCAGAAAGGAGAGCCAAUUCCUGCUACAUAAUGAGGUUUUCACUCUAGCAAUGCUAAGAACCAUUUUUUUAUUCAAAGGUCUAUUUGAUGUUUUAUUGAUUUACUCUAUAUUCAAGAGGUUUUAAAAGGUUUUCACUCCGCGGGGUUUUAAAUCCAACCUAUCAAGGAAUAUAUUUUGGACAAAAUUGCAAAUAAAUUAAAUGUGUCACCUCGUAAUUCAAAAUAUAGCAGUUCCCCAUAAAUAUACUAGUCAUGAGAGUGUGUGUGUGUGUGUGUGUGUGUGUGUGUGUGUACUAUUCCUAUAUCCAUUUGUCCUCUCUGUGUUUCUCUUUUCAGUGAUUUCUUUUACCCCCUUUUGAAAGUAUGCAAAUGCAUUCACAAGACGUGUAUGAGGAAGUACACCACCAUUACCCAAGGCAACUUGAGCAAUGAUACCUUCCCCCAUCCAAAUACACAUAAUUACAUAUGACUAGCUGGAGCAGAAUGUAAAUAGAGUUGCCAUUUAUCUACACUAUGUUUGUGGGAGGCAUAUUCGAAUGUACAUCUCCAUCCAUAUUUCCAGAACAACCACCAUUGGGACAAGUAGGGCAGAAGGCAUUGAGACCAACAGUAUGCAGAGUCAGAGCCAAUGAAUGACAAAGCCUACUAAUUUUUGUCCAGUUUUGUUCCCAUUCUCUUUCCUGCCAAGUUUUACAAAAGCAGCCCUGAGACUUAAGGAGGAGGGAGCUGACAAGUAGUGCCACACCAUGGACUGGCUGCAAAUAAGAAGGUGGGGACGGGCUGAGGGCAGACAGACUAGAGAAGCAGUUCCCCCAUUUGCCCUAAUAAUUACAUGACUACUGCAUGAAACUAUGUGUGACUAGAGCCGGGCUGGAGUAAAUGGCUUCCCACACAGCACCGCCAGGCAGGCAAUGAAACAAACAGUUUAUGUUUAUGGUACUGUACCUCACAGAAGGUGGCACAUCAAAUGAGAGGUAUUCCGUAUGUUCCAUGGGCCCACACAUGACCAAGGAGUCAAAGAAGGAACUGCUGGAGUGAUGGCUUUCUUUUUAGGUCUGUCACUUCACAGGCAAACUUCUAUCAUAUCCCAGUUUACUCUCAAUAGUAAGUACAGUCAACCUGGAGGCCUCUAGUCUUGGGGUACCUGGCUUUUGUGCACUUUGCCUCAGCAGGAAUAGCCCAGAAUUUCCUGUGGAGGAAGUGGGCUGGGUAGAGUUGGAAUGCAGAUAUUCCAUAUUUGGAAAGAGUCUCUGGCAGAGGAGUAGGGCCAAAUCUCCCCUCUUUGUGUGGAGGACCCCUCACUUGGAGGCCUAGCAGUCUCAAACUAUCCUCUGGACUUCUUCCCCCCUCUGUGAGGUAUUUUAUAUCUUCCAGGUCUCCCCAACCUUCAUUCUGGCUGAGGCUCUACAGCUGUACUCCUUCCCACCCAUCAGGCAGAUUUAUGAGAAGGCCCCACCCUGCUCCUUUUAACACUGGUGGAACCUUCAGGCAAUGUCCAAACAUAGUCUCCUCAGGAGUCGUUAUCUGAUUGGUCCUUGGUGGUUGAGACAGGGGCCUCCUGAAAGGGCAAAGUGCUGGCAAAGGAACAGAAAGCCUCUGUGGCCCAUCAAAUAUGCAAGAGCUUUGUUAGUCUUCGGUGAUGCUGUAACAUAGUCAUAAAUAAAGCAAUGCUUUGGCGCUAAGUAUGUAAUCCCUGAUGGACGGGAGCCAGUGAUGAAAAAUAAAUAAUAUUUAAAAACAGCUUUGUUCCAGCUAAUGCUUUGACUGCCAAUGAUAAUAAAGAUAGUUUCAAUAGGCUUUUCAGACUUCUGCUAUCCCAAAGUUUUAGUGCAGAAAAUUGUCACAGCACUUUAGUUGAUUUGAUUGACAUCCUAUGCCCUUUUAGCAUGUGGGGGGUUUUUUUGCAGGGGGGAGGGGUAUUGGGUUGUUGUUUUUAUUUUGAUUAUAUGUUUUGUGGUUUUAUGUUUUGAUUUUGUUCUGUGAACCAUGUGAACUGCCCUGAGACCUCUGAGUAUAGGGCGGGAUAUAAACAACAACAACAGUAUAACUGAUAUUGCACAAGCUAGAAAUAUAUGAUACUCAUAGCCCAUUCAGAAUUUGGUUAGAAAAAGAAUUUCAGCUUAUUUCAAGAGAUCAGAAUUUUGAGUACUAUACACAAAUGUUAUUAUUCCAAGAAAAAGGUAUACAGGAUUUUUUUUAAAACAAAACAAAACAUUUUUAAUGAAUUGCACAUGGUUUUCAAUAUGCAUUACCCACAUGACUCAUCACUUCCCAAUACUUCUUGAUGCUGAAAGUACAUUUUUGAUACAGUUUGAUGAGCCAGAGAUAUGCAUUUUAAUGAAACCAGUGGGACUUACCCUGCAACGAAAUGUCACAGUGAAUUGCAGCCUUGAAGGAGCCUUGUACGCCUGUUGAGGCCCCACAAAAAGGGGGAAAAUAAGUGGAGAAAGAGGAAAAUGCUAUCUUUUUAUUUCCCCUUCCCUGAGAUUUCCUCUUCUAGGUUAGAGAGCAGAACAUAAACAUUUUGUAGCUUGGGGGUGAGUGUAGUGAAUCUGGAAAAUGGGGAAAAUGUGUCUUUCUGAAACAUCCUUGAACAGUGAAGUAUGCAUUCCUUCCACCUCCAAGAUACUCACUGUAAGUAAAAUGUUAGUGGCAUGAGCAAGUCAAUUUAUUUUCUACCUUUACCAUCCACUUUCCUCUCUAGCCCUCGCAGCUGACACUCUCUGUUUCAAAAACUGUCAGGCAAAGCCUUUUCAGAAAACCCUGGGAAAUUCCACACAGAUUCUACUUUUGCCAUCCCUUUCGUCUACCCCUUCUUUCUGUCAAUGAAUCAUUCUUUGUUUGUCCUGAUGCAUCUUUUUAACUGAGAUCAGGUAAUUUUUUUUAAAAAAAACAAGUAACCUACUUCAAACCAGAGAUAACCAAAUACAUAUUGGUGCCUUUGAAAGAAUAAAUAAUUGGUGCUUCCCAUUGGUGAAAACGUAACAGUAAAUCAAGUAGCAGGCAACUUUUCUGCCCUUUCCUUGUAGCUCAAUAUCGGCUCCUUGAGGCAGGCUCCUUCUUCCCGACGUAUUGGUAGAACAAGCUCUGCCCCCACCUGGUUACUUCACAAUUUCCUAGUUCUGGUUUUCAAAGAAGAAACUGCUUUCCUCCCACACUGCAGAAGUGAAUAUAAAAUACUGAGAUAUUGUGGUAGCAAAAUAACAGGUGUCUUAGAUAGUGGGUGGCUUUCAAACACUCUCAAUCCCCCCUCCCAAAUUAUUCACAUACCCACAUACCUGAAUUUACACAGUACAUAUUUCCUUAUCUAGUGAUUUAUAUGGAAGUUGAUGGAAAGCAAUUGCAGUUUCCAUGCUCAGACUUCCUGCACUACAUUAAUAUUAAUAUUAAGCCAGCAUUCUCAGUGUUCUGAACACAUCAGAAAUAAGAAUGCAUAAUAGUAUUCUAUUAGACAAGAUACCUGAAAAGUAUUGUGCCCUCUGUAUUCCAUGGUUUGGAUCCCACUCCCUCCCCCACUCCGGUUUUGUACAGUUUCUCAUUUCUAUACGUAGCCAGAAUCAGCUCCUUCCAGUGUUUCUGAGCCGUUUGAGAAUGUACAUUUGUCAAUUAUGCCUAUGUUAUGAUCCCAAUCUCAUUGUGAGAUCUUAAAAUAUAAGUCAGAAGAGAUACAGUAUUUUAAACUGGCAGGUGUAGAAACUUUUGAAAUAAAUAUGCAUAAUUUACUUCUAUGUCAACUACACCACGAAUCAGAAUUUAAUGAAAUAAAAUAUUCCCGUGCCAAAGGGUAAUUUUGAAUCAUUUGGUCACUAGCAUAUGAAUUGUUAAAGACAAUUUUAAAUUAAAUAAAUUAUCAUUUGAUACCUGAGGAUCUAUUGAGACGAGAAACCUUGUCAGUGUGUUGUAACUUUAAUUACUAAAGUCUUUAAUUUAGAGGUUGAACAAAAGUGUAAUUUCCUGAGGCUUAACCAGAAUAUUUUUACACAUACUUUUGGUCUGCGUUUACUUCUUUCUCCAGAGCAAUGUUCUACAUGCACACACCUUCCCUGUGUAGUCAUUGUACUUGACCAUGCCAAGUGGCAGCCCAGGGCAUACUAAGGACCUGCCAGAGCCCAAGCAAAGGCCCACUGAUUCUACAGCUAAGUUGGCUCUGCUGGGUGCUGGCAGGGACAUGAAGAUGGCUAGAUCCACACAACACGCCAAACCCAACAGCAGCAGCAUCUGAAUUACACCAGCCCUGGUCCCAACAAGCAUGCCUAAGAAGCAGGUCCACGAUUAUUCAGACAGUGGCAUUAGUGAAUAUAGGAACGUGGGCCAAGUGCUUUGCCAUCCAACACACAAACUCACACACACACACACACAGAGAGAGAGAGAGAGAGAGAGAGAGAGAGGCUGUUACAUGGAAGUAAGAAAGAUUUUUUUUAAUAUAACAAUUUUUAUUAAUUUUUCAGUUUAUACAUCUCAAAACAAACAUUUUACAUAAUACCACGUAGCAAUUGACUUCCCUCCUGCCCCUUUCAUGGUUCAUUUUACUUACCUAUCAUUCCUGCCUAUUUUACUAUAGCCAAUCUAAUUGUUUCUCCAUUUUACAUCCUUCAAAUAUUUACCAUAAUGUUGAAUUUAUGUAAAUGCUACCAGCAUUUUUAAUUGUACACAAUUAUUUUUUAAAUAUUCAGCAAAAAUUUUCCACUCCUCUUUGAAUGAAUGUUCUUCUUGCUCUCUUAUUCUAUAAGUUCUAUAAGUUAAACGUACUUCUUCCGUAAAUUUUAUUAUAUUAAGUUGCCAAUCUUCCUUACUAGGGAUCUUGCUCACUUUCCAUCUCUGGGCUAGCAAAAUUCAAGCCACUGUGGUUGCAUACAUAAAUGGUUACCCCCCCCCCCCCCGAUAACUGGGAGCUUCAGACUGAAGUAUUCCUUUUUUUAUUCAGGUUUUUUGGGGAGUGUUGUUGUUGUUUUUAACUCUUUGUAAAUCAUUUCCCAAUAGCCUUUAACUUUUUUACAUGUCCACCACAUGUGAAAAAAAUGGUUCCAUUUCUCUACAUUUCGAACACAGAUCUGAUCCAACUUUGUACAUCUUGACCAACCUUCUCAGGGUUAAAUACCAUCUAGGCAUCAUUUUCAUAUAAUUCUCUUUCAGAGUAUAACGUGGUAAAUGUCAAAUCAUUCUUCCAGAGUUUCUCCCAGAGGUUUAGGUCUAUGUUAUGCCCUAUAUCCACAAAAUAAGAAAGAAAUCUUUAUCCAGGCAAGGAGUAACAAUUCAGGAGUUCAGGCACAGGGCUAAAUUGAUGACGAUGUCCCAACAAAUUUCUCCAUAUUCUGUACAUGUGUAGAGCGAAUUUUGCAAAAUGUUUUUUUUCCCCAACAACAAAGGAUGUAUUUGGACAUAAGCUGCACUAUGGUUUAAGCAUUACAAGAAUGAGCCAAGGCUCUUUUGUCCCCUGUUCUCUAGUGCAGCUGUAAGGAGAUUGGAAACUUGCAUUUUAGAUUGAAUACAGUUUGCCAUGCCAUCUAAAUCUAGGCAAAAUGUGAUUUGCCUUAACUAUAGCUGGUGGAAGCAAGACACCUUCAAAGUUCAAACUAUAGUGUACCAUAGUUUGUUUUUACUAGCCACAGUUAAGAUGAGCCAAAGUUUAAGAUCUGGAAGAAACAGAAAACUAGUUAUUCAUAAACAUAAGUGGACAGUUUAAAAUUCCUCACUGCAGCAGAACUAGAAGAGAUAAAGGACCAUACAAAGCCUGAGGGGAGCAAGGAGCCUAGACUCAUUUUUUGUAAUGCUAAACUAUAUUUUAAUAUUACACCCAAGACAGCCCACUGUUGGUUCACAUGCUUAUAAUAUCAGAAAUCUGCACAUAAUCAGUAUUUCUUCCAGUAUUUAUUUUACAGUUACUGAAAUUAUGGAAAUACUCAAUAAUUUUAAUGAUCUGUUGCUUUUUUCCUGAUAUAUUUUUCAGAUAAUAGAUAUCAAAAUAUCCAGAAAAUCAAAUUAACUGUCAGGCACAUUUUAGUGUUUCAUAAAUUAUUAAUUUCAGAAUGCUAAUUAAAGAAUGUGUUUUUUUUUCAAAUAUGCAUUACACCAACUCAGAAGGUACACAUUAUGACAAUGAGGAACUUAUUGUUGGGAGCAAGGGAGAGGAGAAUGAGUAAAUCCCAUUGCACAGGAACAACGGCACUUCAAUCAGAAAUGAACAACUUUAACUGGUAACUCUUAAAAUGUCUGCCUAGCAUUGCAUUGCCAGAAAACUGGAUGUAACCUGUAAGUAUAUGCUGUUGAGACUCAUCACUUGAAAGUUAGUAGGGAGGAAAAACAGGGAGAAACCGUUGUCUUUCAAGGUGAACUGUAAGUCUUCACAAAGCCCCUAGAAGACCCUGAAUGAGCUAGGUUUUUAAGUAAUAGUCUAGCUUUUUAAGCACAUGAGGUGUUCAAAUGAAUCCACUCAGUUUGACUUCAGUAGGAGGUCUCAUUUGCUUAAAAUAGGUACAUAAUCAGAGACGAAUACUUCAAUUUUCUGUUCCCUAAUGUCCCUGGAAUACUGCAAAUAGCUUUAAUUGUAUCCAAGACUUCCAAUGAGCCUCACAAAGCACCUCAGGGCAUAUUCUUUUUCCUCGUGCCAUUAAAUAGGAUUGCAAUAUCUUCAUUUGAUAAAACAGCUCAGGCAGCUCCAAAAUAUUAAUUGUUCCUGUGGUUCUGGGAGCCCUCACAAAGCAGGACUCACACACACACAGGCUCCACUCCUAAAUAAUGAAAAACCUGUAUUGCAGAAGUAGUGAUUUGAAACCCGGGGGUUGAUGAUGAUGAUGAUGAUGAUGAUGAUGAUGAAAGUAUCUGACAGUGGGCUACUGUAACCUGAUCUGUUGAAGUUUCAAAAGACCUUUAAAAAUAGGGCUCCUUGAAGCUGAAAAGUAAACUUAUGGCCUUUCUUCCACAUCUCUCUGGAGUCACAAAAGUGAUCUGGGAGGUAUUGUAGGUUUUGAAGAUCAAUUGAUGAGUGAAACAAACACCAACUUCUCUGCUUCACACCUACAUGCUUUAAGCUCUGAAUCAGGCUAACAUUGAACAGUUGCUUCUUCUGAUAGCUGAUCUCCAGCUGGAUUUGAUUUCUGUCCGUGGUUUAACUUCUGUGCUUUAUAACCUGUGUGGUAGUACUUUGUAAUUAACCAUAACAGCAAUAGGAGAAGCUGGUGUUUUUUCAAUAGACAUUCUGUUUGAGUUCCCCCAUCUCACCACCAAUGGUUUUCUCUAGCUUCUUCUUCCUAUUGCAUCAUAACCUUGUUAGGGGAAGAAAUUAGUUCACUUUGCAUUUUGAGAUGUACUUCCAGAUAUGGACUUCACAAACCAAUAUAUGAACCACAGCACGCCUUUCAUGCUAAAUUCCAUUGUGAUGUAGUUCUCUGAUCAAAGAAUGCACACAAAAGUGCACACAGCAGUGAAAGGCUCAUACAGAAAGUGUUGAAAAAUGCAUUCUACUAGGGGAAAACUGAUUGCAAUAAGCCACGUUAGGUAAAAUUGCAGUGAAAAUGUAUAUGUUGGGAGAAAUGUGCAUGGAAAUGUGUAUGAACUUCCACAGAGACUUAAAAAAUAAUUCUGACUUAAGCCACUCUCUUGAAAGAAAAGGCAGGAUAUUAAAUAAAUAAAUAAGAAUGAUAUGCAGGAAUAAGGUUAACUGAACUUAAGAAUUGGAAAAUGAGAAACCAAAACUGAAAGCUAUUAUUAUUUAUUAUUCUGAGAGAAAAAGGGAGGUGUUCAUGGUGAGUUCCAGCACCUCUUUUUCUAGAAAAAUAGCACUGUUUCUAACUCAGCAAUCCCACCCACUCACCCACUCAUACACACAGUGUAAACUGACCAGAAAUUGCACAUGUUCAUCUAGCUCAACGGAAGACAGAAAUGCUAGUAAUCUUCUCUUUUAAGAAGAACAUUUCAAUCUCCUAUAGGGACACAUUCAUACCCUACACCAAUUUCUCUGCACAGAACAUGUAGUUUCAUUAAAACACUAAAUAAGCUUGUUACCAGUGCUGCAGAAAUCUCAAUGUCAUUUUGACAUACAAGCUGGCAAGUCAGGAAUUACGAUAUAUUGCACAACAAAAUGCUGGGUUGGCUGAAACUGUGUCUGGGGGUGAGGGUAGGUAAAUAACACUUCCUCCUCCCCCAGCCACUUGAAGAAUUCUACCGCAGUGCUGUAUAAAGGGCUAACUGCCCAGCCCAAAGCUAAGCACAUUGUACCUAUGUACUACGGUGGGUGUGUGGUUCUUGAAAGUAGUGAAGAAAAAAAGGGGUCCCUAUUCUAUUCUUGUCUCUGAACCAGGCUUCCUCAACCUCGUCCCUCCAGAUGUUUUUGGCCUACAACUCCCAUGAUCCCUAUCUAGCAGGACCAGUAGUCAGGGAUGAUGGGAAUUGUAGUCUCAAAACAUCUGGAAGUCCGAGUUUGAGGAAGCCUGCUCUGAACUCUUCCUGCAGUUGUAUCUAUAACUUCGAAAACAGACAUGCAGGCCAAUCCUGUGCAUGUCUAUUAAGAUAUACAUUCUGUGCAGUAACGAGGCUGAUAGGUAAAGGUACCCCUGCCCGUACGGGCCAGUCGUGUCUGACUCUAGGGUUGCGUGCUCAUCUCGCUCUAGAGGCCAUGAGCCGGCGCCGUCCGAAGACACUUCCGGGUCACGUG
rnacentral:lncRNA from 1 species